GAGAGAUUAAAUUUUGUAUUAGGUUAUUUAUUGACUUGAGUUCAUCCAUGUUAACUAGAUUGGUCAGAUAUUUGAUUGUGCUGACCUAAACUGGAUCAGUCAAAUAUCAAAUCUAAUGACUUAGAAGAGAUCUAAACCUAAAUCUUCUCACUAAAUAUUAAGUCUAGUGGUCUUCCACCAUUAUAGAGAUGCGAGUGCCUUUCUUACAUUGAUC
rnacentral:lncRNA from 1 species